UUCCCAGGCUAGGGGUCGAAUCGGAGCUGUAGCCACUAGCCUAAGCCACAGCCACAGGAAUGCUGGAUCCUUAGGCCAUUGAGUGAGGCCAGGGAUCGAACUUGCGUCCUUAUAGAUACCAGCCAGAUUUAUUUCCUCUGAGCCAUUAUGGGAACUCCUGCUUAUCCAUUCUAAGUGUAACAGUUCAUUUGUCGACAGUUUCUAUGUUGGUAUGAUCCACAGCAGAAUGAGAGUAAGUUGAGAGAAAUUUUGUGAUUUAAGACAAGGCAUGCAGAGUUGGGCUUGGUUUUAAAAAAAAAAAAAAAAAAAGUCAAGUAGUUCCAGACCAAAAAUGUCAUCCAUUCAUACCUUUUGUUUCCUAUCGGCCAAUUCAAAUUUGGUAACAACUUAGAAUAAAACACAACCUUUGGGUAAGUGACCUCAGGUGGACUAAGGUUUUUGUAGAGCAAUGAAAACUCCAUAAAUGACUGCUUGGAAUAAAGGCCAAUUUGGUGGUUGGGAAUCACUGCCAUCUGCUCAUGCCUGCUGCCUUUGCAGCAUCUGGGGAACGUCCGUGGUGGAGCAAGAUCCGUUACAAGCCUCAAUGGAGUGACUCACCUCCUCUCCUGGGUAGAAAUAAAGGAUGGAGAAGGGAUACCUCCUUUUCUAAAUACAUGAAAAUAUUGAAGAAAAUGAGAAUAGGAAUCUUUCUUGACGUCAUUGAUAGCACCUAAAAACCAGGAAGGCUAACAAAAGGCUGGGAGGGGGUGGGAGAAUUUCUGUAAGGAUGGUUCCUUGCUGGGAAUGAGGAGGAGUCGCAGUUCUAAUCUUGGUUUCGGCCCACGGAUUGCUUGAGGAUAAGACACUGAAACCCUCCAGAGUUUUAAUUGCUCCAACUGUGAGUAGAGAAAGCUUAAUUAGGUGAGUACAAAUAGAGCAAAUACGUAACUCCUAUGAGAAAGUUCUGGAUGGUAAACGCCCACCAGGUAGACCGGUUUUCUCUCGGAGGACAAAGUUUAUCAAGCACCUACUUUGAGUCACGUUUGGGCCACAUCCCUUGCUUUACACAAACUGUGCAGGCCCCUGGAAUGAAGGCUGGAUCUUAGACAUACUUGAUUUUUCUCAGCACAGUGGUUGGCUUGGCCAUGCUGUUUGUUGAACUGAAUUGAUUUUGCAUAAAUUCUCAUACAAAUUAAGGGAAAACAAAUUUCUCUGUUGGUGGUGGAAGGGGAUGACGGUAGUAAUCACGCAAAGAAGGUCAAGAUUAGAUCCUUAUGAAAAGGGAGGGUUUUUUUCUCCCCUCAUAAUAUGACUGAAUUUUCCUUCAUUUUAUUUUUACUUUUAAAGAAAACUCACUGAAGUGCAUUUGAUUUACAAUGGUGGUUCAUUUCUUCUGUACAGUGAAGUGAUUCAUUUUUAUAUAUAUUCAUUCUUUUUUGUAUUCUAUUCCAUUACUGUUAAUCUCAGGAUAUUGAAUAUAUUGCCCCGCGCUGUACGAUAGGACCCUGUUUAUCCAUCCUAUAUAUAAUAGUUUGCAUCUGCUAACCCCAAACUCCCAGUCCAUCCCUCCCCUACCUACCCCCUUGGCAACUAUAAGUCUAUUUGCUCCAUGCAUGAGUCUGUUUUGUUGAUAAGCUCUUUUAUGUGGUAUUUUAAAUUCCACAUCUAAGUGAUAUCAUAUGGUUUUGUCUUUCUCUUUCUGACCGACUUUGCCAAGGAUGAUAAUCUCUAGGUCUAUCCGUGUUGCUGCAAAUGGCAUUAUUUCUGAAUUUUCCUUCAUUUUAGGAUUGCUUAUAGUGGGGUGUGAUAGCUGGCUGAAUCACCUGGCAAGGAAGUGACAUAAAAUUUCAACGCUACAGCAUGGCAAUCUAAGACAGUUUCCUAAUGAGCUGAAUGAUGGCAACUCUGUGAAAUAUUUAGCAGGAAUUGUGACAAAUCCCAAUUCUUUUUACUGUAUCCUAGCACUUUCCUGGUCUCUUUAGCAGCCCAGCUGCAGAAGGAGAGGUUAAUUAACAAACGCUUCACGUGAUUCUGAUACCUGUUAACGUUUGGGAAGCCCUGUUCUUUGAUAUUUAACACUCUGAUGAGCCACUAUGGGUUAUUCUUAGGUCCACUUUGAUUUUGAAAAUAAAAGAUUCCAUUAUAUAUUAACUUGGAUAUCGAAACUUCAACACACCAAAAUCAAAUUUCUUAUAUUCCUAGCAGCUAGUGCUUAACCUAAUGUGGGCCAUCAUUCAGGUGGGGCAAUUUCAGUCCACAUCAGUCAUUGUGGCCAGAGGACCUGCUUGGUAUAAAGCAGGGUGCUGGGUGCCAAGGGGUUUGGGGUGGGGGGUGGAACACGAAUGAGUAAGACUAGUUCAUUCCUUCCAGGGUCUCAGAAUAAAGUAGGGUAUUUAAAAACAUAAACACUUAGCAUAAAUACACAGCAUCUCAUAAGGGCCCUGGAGGAAUGCGAAGCCAGGGAGGGGACAGGGGUUGAGCUCAAAUAGAAACGCGUGGUGCUGUGGGAGGUGGGUGAGCCUGGCCAAGGCAAGUCCUUUUUCUGCGCCCCAGUUUCCUUGCUUCUAGAAUAAUCUGAGAUGAGGCUGGAACUGGGAUUUGGAAAUGCCCUUUGCUUUCUUGGAGGAGUUGGAGGAAGACAAAUUGGAGCAACUCUGUGUCUCUUCUGCUCAAACCAGAACAGCAACUUGUGUGUGUUUAUCAGCCCCCCUGUGUAAGUUUUUGUUUGGCGAGAGGAAAGAUUUCACAGCUGAAGACAAAAAUAACCCUGGGACUAGAUGAUGUCAGGUUUGCUUUAGCUUUGUGGUUCUGUGGCCUUUUCUUCUUCAUAAUGUUCCAGGAGGAUGCAUUAGUAGGAAGAGAUACCUUGAAUUAUUGCGGGCGUGGGGUGGGGUGGAAUUGUUAUGGACCUACAAGGUCUAAUAAUGUGCCUGUCAAACACAGCUUCUAUUUAUUACUCAAAGUGGGAUAUAAAAAUAGUGAAUUUCUGGAGUUC
ensembl:lncRNA